rnacentral:rRNA from 1 species
UUAAGAUACUAAGAGCAUACGGUGGAUGCCUUGGCGAUAUCUGCCGACGAAGGACGUGACAAGCUGCGAAAAGCUGCGGAGAGAUGCAAAUAAUCGGCGACCCGCAGACAUCCGAAUGGAGAAAUCCGGCUGUGAUGAUGCACAGCCAUCCAUGCCCAAGAGCAUGAGAAGGGAACCGGGCGAACUGAAACAUCUAAGUAACCCGAGGAAAAGAAAUCAAACGAGAUACCCCAAGUAGCGGCGAGCGAACAGGGAAGAAGCCCAAACCGGUGAAGGAAACUUUACCGGGGUUGAGGACCAUCAGACCCGCGAAGAACUUUAGCCGAAACUGUUGGGAAACAGUGCCGAAGACAGUGAAAGCCUGGUAGGCGAAAAAGAGAAACGCGGAGAUGGCACCAGAGUACCGCGGGACACGAGAAAUCCCGUGGGAAGCAGGGGGGACCACCCUCCAAGGCAAAACACAGAUAUCGACCGAUAGCGCAUAGUACCAUGAGGGAAAGGUGAAAAGCACCCCGGGAGGGGAAUGAAAGAGAACCUGAAACCGUAUGUUUACAAGCAGUCGGAGACCGCUUAAUAAUAAGGUCGACGGCGUGCCUAUUGAAGAAUGAACCGGCGAGUUACGAAGCCUGGCAAGGUUAAGCAGGAAAUGCGGAGCCGAAGCGAAAGCGAGUCUUAAGAGGGCGCAAGUCAGGAAGCGUAGACCCGAAACCACAGUGAUCUACCCAUGUCCAGGUUGAAACACAGGUAAAAAUGUGUGGAGGACCGAACCUAUAUCCGUUGAAAAGGGUUAGGAUGAGGUGUGGGUAGGGGUGAAAUUCCAAUCGAACGUGGAGAUAGCUGGUUCUCCCCGAAAUAGCUUUAGGGCUAGCCUCAGGGAAAAGAUUGCAGGCGGUAGAGCACUGAUCAGGAGAGGGACCUACCCGGUUACCAAACCCAGUCAAACUCCGAAUGGCUGCAAUCAUACCUGGGAGUCAGACUGCGACUAAUAAGGGCCGCAGUCAAAAGGGAAACAGCCCAGACCAUCAGCUAAGGUCCCCAAUGCCGUGCUAAGUGGCGAAGGAUGUGGCAUUUCAUAAACAACCAGGAUGUUGGCUCAGAAGCAGCCACCAUUUAAAGAGUGCGUAAUAGCUCACUGGUCGAGAGACGCUGCGCCGAAAAUGUCCGGGGCUCAAGCACGGAACCGAAGCUAUGGCAUGAUAGCAAUAUCAUGGGUAGGGGAGCGUUCUUAUAAGGAAGAAGCAUGACCGGAAGGACAUGUGGACGAAUAAGAAGUGAGAAUGCCGGUAUGAGUAUCGAAAAGAAAGGUGAGAAUCCUUUCCACCGAAAGCCCGAGGGUUCCUGAGCAACGAUCGUCGACUCAGGGUAAGUCGGGACCUAAGCCGAGGCGAGAAGCGUAGGCGAUGGACAACAGGUUGAAAUUCCUGUACCGGAUCAAGUCGAUCGAGCGAAGGAGCGACGCAGGAGGGCACAUGAUCGCGCGGCUGGAAGAGCGCGUCCAAGUGCGUAUGUUGCUGCAGAGGAAAACCCCUGCAGCUGAAAGCAGAGACAUGAAGGGGAGUUAAAGGAAACUUUGACGAACUCAUGAAUCCCACACUGCCAAGAAAAACUUCUAGCGAGACAAGAUCCGCCCGUACCGUAAACCGACACAGGUAGGCGGGGAGAGAAUCCUAAGGUGCGCGGGAAAACCCUCGUUAAGGAACUCGGCAAAUUGCAUCCGUAACCUAGGGAGAAGGAUGGCCCCCGGUCAGUGAAGAGCAGAAACGCUCAGAGCUAAAAGGGGCGGCAGAAAAGAGGCCCAAGCAACUGUUUACCAAAAACACAGGUGCCUGCGAAAGCGAAAGCUGAAGUAUAGGUGCUGACGCCUGCCCGGUGCCGGAAGGUUAAGGAGAGAAGUUAGCGAAAGCGAAGCAUCGAACUGAAGCCCCGGUGAACGGCGGCCGUAACUAUAACGGUCCUAAGGUAGCGAAAUUCCUUGUCGGGUAAG